rnacentral:tRNA from 1 species
GCAUUGGUGACCCAGUGGGAGAGCUCCCGCCUCCACGCCGGCGGCCAGGGUUUGUAUCCCAGCCAGUGCC